UUUUUGGUGUGAUUCAAAAAGAUUAAAGGAAAUCAAUAACCUCUUCGAACUUAAUUCUUGGGCUACGACUUUCACUGAAUCCAACACUUUCAUACUUAAACCUCUACUUGUAAAGCUGGAAGAACCCAACUACAGGGCUCGAACUAGGUUUAGGGCAUAGUGUUCAUCAUUCAAACACUUUCAGCGAACCAGAAAGAGAAAAUCAGAUCACUGCAAAUCUAAGAAGCUCCACGCUUUACAGGCAAGUACUCAUCUCUACACUCUUCGCUUUGAUUGAUAGCAUAUUAUAUGUGUAUGUAUCUUCAAGAAAUGAGGACUAUUUAUAUCUGCAAAACUCUCGUCUCACUCUCUCUCAACAAUUCUUCACAUCUCAACAAAACCCCAAUCUCUCUUUUCUCUCAACACUUCUUCUCUUCCUCUCCCAAAAGCCCCAAUGCGGUGGCUGAUUACUUGAUUGAGAGACACAAAUUGUCUCUUGAAACUGCUUCGAAAAUCUCUUCUCCCAAUCUGAAAGGCCCGAAAAGAUCGAUUCGAUUCUGUCAUUUCUCGAGGAAAGUGGUGUUUCGGAUACGAAUCUCAAGCGUGUCAUCAAACACGCGCUUCAACUUCUCUCUGCAAAUCUUGAGCUUUCCAUCAAACCCAAAUUCAAGUUUUUUCAAGACUUGGGUAUUUCUUCUAGCGAUGUUGUGAAAAUUGUUUCGGCUGACCCUCUGAUUCUAACUCGUAGCGUUGAUAGUCAGCUGACCCCAUCGAUUUUAGCAUUGAAGAGUGUUUUGGUUUCGAAUAUGGAUGUGUCUAGGGUUUUAAAGAAAUCUGGGUUGUUUUUGAGGUAUGAUUUGGUGAAAACUAUGAUACCCAAUAUUGAAUUUUUGAAGAGCUGUGGCAUUAGUUUGUCGCAAAUAACUCGAUGUGUCUAUAAUACCCCACCAUUUUUCACCAAUAAACCGACCAGAGUUAAGAGAAUUAGUCAAGAGGGUUGAUGAGAUUGGCUUUGACAGGAACUCUAAGAUGUUUCUUCCUGCGAUUCAGGCUAUUAGUUCUAUGACUGUAGAGAAUUGGGAGUUGAAAUUGGAGGUCUUUAAGAGUUUGGGGUUUUCGGAAGAUGACAUUUUGUCAGUUUUUAGGAGAGCACGUCAGGUAUUUGCUCUGUCAGAGAGGAAAAUUAAGGCAACAACACAGCUUUUACUUAGCACAGGCAAAUGUGAUAUCUCACAUGUUGUUAAAAACCCAGAUUUACUUGGUUACAGUGUUGAGAGUAGGCUUAAGCCACGGUUAAGAAUUCUGGAUGUUUUGGAAAGCAGGAAUUUGCUUCUUAAAAAGCGGAGUUUGGCAACUGUGUGCAGGAUGACUGAUAAGAAGUUCUUUGAGAAAUAUUUACUCCCUCAUUCAAAUGAAGUUGGCAAAUUAUUUGUGGCUACAAGGCCUCGUUGAAGGCAUAAAUAUGUGCUUAAGAUCAUGACUUCAUUUGUGACUUAAUGAUUUAAUACCUAGAGACGGGUGUGACUGAAUCUUUUUUCCAAAAAGCAAAUGACUUGGCGGUAUAGCAUGGCAGGUAAGUAGGUACUAUUUUCUUCUAUCCAUAUGGUGCACUACUGAGAAAAACAAAGAUUAAUUUUCCAGCUGGCUGUAUAAUUUCAAACGUGUUGAAAUAUAUCCUUAAUUUAACAUUUCUUUUUUCUUUUUUCAAAUUUUCAAUUGAGGCAUCAUGUUGAAUAAUCCUGAUAGGUAUUCUAUCUUGCUCAAGCUUUCUCAUUUUGUGUGAGGCAAUGAUUAUUAAGUAUCUGCACGUAUAGCCACGAUCUUAUUCUUGACAUAUAAUUUUGUCAUUGUGCAGAAUUGUAUGCUGUUUUAAGUUUUGUUUCUCAUUUAUAUUGGUGCUUAUAGUACUUAUGCAUGUCAGUACUGAUCUACCAAUAUAACUAUGAUUUAGGGAAGUAAUUAAGGUUCUUCUUCCAGUGCUAGCGGUAUCCCGAACGAAUUUGUCUGCAUUCUGCAGGAACUUCUGAGAUGAUUCUGGUUUAGUUUGUGGAACUCUGUUACCACCUUGAGACUGGAUUGACAAAAAGAUUAAGCACUGCAGUAUAGAAUGUUAUAGAAACUAGUCAGAGGAAGUUAUUACAUGAAGAGUUCUGGACUGAAUUGAUACAAGAGAUUAAGCACCGCGGCUUAUGUUUUUUCUGAGAAUCAACUUCCCUUUUAAGGUCACUCCCAUGAACUAGCUGAGUUGAUCUGUUGAUGUCAGUUGGUUGGAGCAAUAGUGUGUGUGUAUAUCUUACCUACCAAAAAAGAGUUGAUGCUGGAGAGAUGUUAAAUAUGAUAUCUACUUGUUGUUCUGAAUUCUAUGUCGUUUGAUUUUUCUUAGCAUGGUUAAAAAAAUGUUCUCUCUUGUUUGGUUUCCUCUA